rnacentral:rRNA from 1 species
GUGGCGGACGGGUGAGUAAUGUAUGAAGCAACCUGCCUUUCAUGGGGGACAACAGUUGGAAACGACUGCUAAUACCGCAUAAUGUACACGGAGGACAUCCUCUGUAUACCAAAGGAGCAAUUCGCUGAAAGAUGGGCUCAUAUCUGAUUAGUUAGUUGGUGAGGUAACGGCUCACCAAGACUGUGAUCAGUAGCCGGACUGAGAGGUUGAACGGCCACAUUGGGACUGAGAUACGGCCCAGACUCCUACGGGAGGCAGCAGUGGGGAAUAUUGGGCAAUGGGCGAAAGCCUGAACCCCCAGCUAACGCCGCGUGAAGGAAGAAGAUCUUCGGAUUGUAAACUUCUUUUAUGUGGGACGAAAAAAUGACGGUACUACAUGAAUAAGCCACGGCUAACUACGUGCCAGCCGCAGC